UCGGGGCGUGGCGCAGCCUGGUAGCGCACCUGCUUUGGGAGCAGGGGGUCGCCGGUUCGAAUCCGGCCGCCCCGAUC
rnacentral:tRNA from 1 species